CCCUUAGAUGUCCGGGGCCGCACGCGCGCUACACUGAAGGAAUCAGCGUGGCUUUCUCCCUGACCCGAAAGGGUUGGGAAACCCGUUGAAUCUCCUUCGUGAUAGGGAUUGGGGCUUGAAAUUGUUCCCCAUGAACGAGGAAUUCCCAGUAAGCGCGAGUCAUAAGCUCGCGUUGAUUACGUCCCUGCCCUUUGUACACACCGCCCGUCGCUACUACCGAUUGAACGGUUUAGUGAGGGCCUCGGAUUGGGCUCGGCCCGCUCUUUACCGGGCGGCGCCGUUGGUCGAGAAGACGCUCGAACUUGAUCGUUUAGAGGAAGUAAAAGUCGUAACA
rnacentral:rRNA from 1 species